rnacentral:rRNA from 1 species
GAUGAACGCUGGCGGCGUGCCUAAUACAUGCAAGUCGAGCGAAUGGAUUAAGAGCUUGCUCUUAUGAAGUUAGCGGCGGACGGGUGAGUAACACGUGGGUAACCUGCCCAUAAGACUGGGAUAACUCCGGGAAACCGGGGCGAAUACCGGAUAACAUUUUGAACCGCAUGGCUCGACGUUGAAAGGCGGCUUCGGCUGUCACUUAUGGAUGGACCCGCGUCGCAUUAGCUAGUUGGUGAGGUACCGGCUCACCAAAGCAACGAUGCGUAGCCGACCUGGGAGGGUGAUCGGCCACACUGGGACUGAGACACGGCCCAGACUCCUACGGGAGGCAGCAGUAGGGAAUCUUCCGCAAUGGACGAAAGUCUGACGGAGCAACGCCGCGUGAGUGAUGAAGGCUUUCGGGUCGUAAAACUCUGUUGUUAGGGAAGAGCAAGUGCUAGUUGAAUAAGCUGGCACCUUGACGGUACCUAACCAGAAAGCCACGGCUAACUACGUGCCAGCCGCCGCGGUAA